rnacentral:rRNA from 1 species
ACGGAGGGGGCUAGCGUUGUUCGGAAUUACUGGGCGUAAAGCGCACGUAGGCGGAUUGUUAAGUUAGAGGUGAAAGCCCAGAGCUCAACUCUGGAAUAGCCUUUGAUACUGGCAGUCUAGAGUUCAGGAGAGGUGAGCGGAAUUCCGAGUGUAGAGGUGAAAUUCGUAGAUAUUCGGAGGAACACCAGAGGCGAAGGCGGCUCACUGGACUGAUACUGACGCUGAGGUGCGAAAGCGUGGGGAGCAAACAGG